rnacentral:misc_RNA from 1 species
AACGCAUCUUGCGCUCCCCGGUUAUUCCGAGGAGCAUGUCUGUUUGAGUGUCGUGUAACCUCUCCAUCGUUUUCAUUCUGGCUUCAUUGCUUGAUCGAAAUUCGAUGGGAUCGUGACCCUCUGCCGUUUCUCUCCAGAGACAGCUGGGUCGAAAUGCAGACAAGUGAUGAUCCCAGCUCGUGCUGAUCGGCUUGAACUCGACGUUGUAAUCUAUCCUCGUUGAGCUACGAUCUGCUUGCCUGUUGGUGUUCCACUUUGAAACAACCUUUUUUCUCACAGCGAUGUGAGCAAUAUUGACCUCAAAUCAGGCAGGACUACCCGCUGAACUUAA